CACGUAGGGGACGAGCGUUGUCCGGAUUCAUUGGGCGUAAAGCGCGCGUAGGCGGCUCGGAAAGUCGGUCGUGAAAAGCUGGGGCUUAACCCCAGUCCUGCUUUCGAUACGGGUGGACUAGAGGUAGGCAGGGGAGAAUGGAAUUCCUGGUGUAGCGGUGAAAUGCGCAGAUAUCAGGAGGAACACCGGUGGCGAAGGCGGUUCUCUGGGCCUUACCUGACGCUGAGGAGCGAAAGCAUGGGGAGCAAACAGG
rnacentral:rRNA from 1 species